rnacentral:rRNA from 1 species
ACAUCGCCUCUUGCUAACUACACAUAAGAGGUCCUGCCUGCCCUGUGACCCCUGGUUCAACGGCCGCGGUAUUUUGACCGUGCAAAGGUAGCGCAAUCACUUGUCUCUUAAAUGAGGACCUGUAUGAAUGGCACAACGAGGGCUUAACUGUCUCCUUUCCCCGGUCAAUGAAAUUGAUCUUCCCGUGCAGAAGCGGGAAUCCUAACAUAAGACGAGAAGACCCUAUGGAGCUUUAGACAUCAGAACAGACCAUGUAAGCUACCUCCAUGAAAUAGGUAAUAACUAUUGAAUCUCUGUUCCCCUGUCUUCGGUUGGGGCGACUACGGGGAAUAAAAAAACCCCCACGUGGACCAGGAGCACAUUACUCCUACAACCAUGAGCCACAGCUCUAAUGCACAAAACAUUUGACCAUUAGAUCCGGCAAAGCCGAUCAACGGACCAAGUUACCCUAGGGAUAACAGCGCAAUCCCCUUUAAGAGUUCAUAUCGACAAGGGGGUUUACGACCUCGAUGUUGGAUCAAGACAUCCUAAUGGUGCAGCCGCUAUUAAGGGUUCGUUUGUUCAACGAUUAAAGUCUUACGUGAUCU